UAUAUCGGAACAUGCCCUGGAGUGGGGGAUAACGUAGCGAAAGUUACGCUAAUACCGCAUACGAUCUACGGAUGAAAUGGGGGAUCGCAAGACCUCAUGCUCGUGGAGCGGCCGAUAUCUGAUUAGCUAGUUGGUAGGGUAAAAGCCUACCAAGGCAUCGAUCAGUAGCUGGUUUGAGAGAACGACCAGCCACACUGGGACUGAGACACGGCCCAG
rnacentral:rRNA from 1 species